rnacentral:lncRNA from 1 species
GGGUUAGUGUUAGGGUUUGGGUUAGUGUUUAGGUUAGGGUUAGUGUUAGGGUUUGGGUUAGUGUUUAGGUUAGGGUUAGUGUUAGGGUUUGGGUUAGGGUUUGGGUUAGUGUUUAGGUUAGGGUUAGUGUUAGGGUUUGGGUUAGUGUUUAGGUUAGGGUUAGUGUUAGGGUUUGGGUUAGUGUUAAGGUUAGGGUUAGUGUUAGUGUUUGGGUUAGGGUUUGGGUUAGUGUUUAGGUUAGGGUUAGUGUUAGGGUUUGGGUUAGUGUUAAGGUUAGGGUUAGGGUUAGUGUUUGGGUUAGGGUUUGGGUCAAACACUUACCCUAACCCAAAUCCCAAAUGUGUUAAAAUUGUUGAUUUGGAGGCCUUACUUUAUCUCGGAACGGGUAAGUGUAGAAGGAUAACCUAUUGCAGUUUCGUGUUAAGUUUUUCACGAACUUCUUAAAAGAAAGAGUUGUGUAUGGAUGGGGGUCCGGUUAUGAUGUUUGAAAAAAAAAAAAAAAAAAAAUAAUCUUUCAAUUAUCAUGCAGUGAGGUCGGAGAGUGCGGCCGUACACUUCAGUGAUACCAAUACGUUUUCAUCCUCUAGAUCGCCUUUCCAUCUUUUAGGAACAGUUAACUUUAAGAAGAUAUCUCUAUUCAAAUUCAUUCUACAUCUGUUUGAAGAUUGAAGUCGAAGGCAAUUUUCAUACUCUGUACUUAGAAAUAUUUUUAAAUAACCCAAACCCAAACACUAACACUAACACUAACCCUAACCUAAAC